UGAUGUGGAGCGAAACUCAAAAAAAUAAGUCUCAGUUCGGAUUGAAGGCUGAAAUUCGCCUUCAUGAAGCCGGAAUUGCUAGUAAUGGCAGGUCAGCAUACUGCCGUGAAUACGUUCCCGGGCCUUGUACACACCGCCCGUCACACCAUGAGAGUUGGGAAUACCCGAAGCCUGUGAGCUAACAUUUAUGAGGCAGCAGUCGAAGGUAGAAUCAAUGAUUGGAGUGAAGUCGUAACAAGGUAGC
rnacentral:rRNA from 1 species